GAGUUUGAUCCUGGCUCAGGACGAACGCUGGCGGCGUGCUUAACACAUGCAAGUCGAACGAUGAAGCUGGAGCUUGCUCCGGUGGAUUAGUGGCGAACGGGUGAGUAACACGUGAGAAAUCUGCCCCUGACUCUGGGAUAACUGCGGGAAACUGUAGCUAAUACCGGAUACUUUCCCUGGUGGGCAUCCACUGGGGAAGAAAGAAUUUCGGUCAGGGAGGAUCUCGCGGCCUAUCAGCUAGUUGGUGAGGUAACGGCUCACCAAGGCGACGACGGGUAACCGGCCUGAGAGGGUGACCGGUCACACUGGGACUGAGACACGGCCCAGACUCCUACGGGAGGCAGCAGUGGGGAAUAUUGCACAAUGGGCGCAAGCCUGAUGCAGCAACGCCGCGUGAGGGAUGAAGGCCUUCGGGUUGUAAACCUCUUUUAGCAGGGAAGAAGCGAAAGUGACGGUACCUGCAGAAAAAGCACCGGCUAACUACGUGCCAGCAGCCGCGGUAAUACGUAGGGUGCAAGCGUUGUCCGGAAUUAUUGGGCGUAAAGAGCUCGUAGGCGGUUUGUCACGUCUGCUGUGAAAAUCCAAGGCUCAACCUUGGACUUGCAGUGGGUACGGGCAGGCUAGAGUGCGGUAGGGGAGAUGGGAAUUCCUGGUGUAGCGGUGGAAU
rnacentral:rRNA from 1 species